rnacentral:rRNA from 1 species
ACUACGGGAGGCUGCAGUGGGGAAUAUUGGGCAAUGGAGGAAACUCUGACCCAGCAACGCCGCGUGAAUGAUGACGGUCUUCGGAUUGUAAAGUUCUUUUCUAAGGGAAGAAGAAAGUGACGGUACCUUAGGAAUAAGCCUCGGCUACCUCCGUGCCAGCAGCCGCGGUAAUACGUAGGAGGCAAGCGUUAUCCGGAAUGACUGGGGGUAAAGGGGGCGUAGGUGGUUUGACAAGCUGGUAGCGUAACUCCGGGGCUCAACCUCGGCACUACUACCAAAACUGUCGGACUUGAGUGCAGGAGGGGCAAAUGGAAUUCCUAGUGUAGCGGUGGAAUGCGUAGAUAUUAGGUGGAACACCAGUGGCGAAGGCGAUUUGCUGGACUGUAACUGACACUGAGGCACGAAAGCGUGGGGAGCAAACAGGAUUAGAUACCCCAGUAGUC